rnacentral:tRNA from 1 species
UGCUGGUUAAGCCAUCGCUCUGGGAAGCUGUCGAUAUGGGUUCGAUUCCC